rnacentral:rRNA from 1 species
GCUUACAGACAUACCACCCUGAAUACAAUCUCGUCUGUUCUUGGAGGCUAAGGUCAGGGUCAGGCCUGGUUAAUAUUUGGAUGGGAAUACCAGGUGCUGUAUUUC